UCCUUUCCUGCCCUGGGGCCCCUGGCUCCUCAGCAGAGGGUGGUGACCAGGUCAUCAAGGACUUUUGUCUUUCACCUAAAGGAAGUAGGGAGCCAGAGGGCCCCGGGCAAUGGGGAUGGCUCAUCUUGCUCCUCUCCCUCUGGCCACUCCCCUCAUCCCCAUCCAAGCCCUCAGCAGCAGCCAGUCUUCCCAGCCCAGGUGGAAGCUCUGUCACUGUGGGAUGACACCCCCGCCCUGACCUUGGCACCAGGUUCUUGAAGGAUGCCAUGUGGAAAAAGGACAAGAAGGACUUUGCCCGUGAGAUGACGAAAAUGAAGAUGUUCAAGAGCCAGCUGACCCUCAUGGAGCACAACUACCUGAUUGAGUAUCAAGGUCAAGGAUGCAGUGUGCACUUCCCAUUUGCCUUUUCCCCCAUCACACCAGAGACUCUCCUAUGGCAGGACAUGUCUCUACUAUCAGACUGUGGAUUCCUUU
rnacentral:sRNA from 1 species